UUGUCAGGUAGGAUAAUCCUCCCCUGUUCCUCUGUUAAGAGGCAGAUAGACUAACAUUCAAGAG
rnacentral:snoRNA from 1 species